CAGAGCGCUUUCAUAAAAAAGAGGAGUAUUCAUGAUAACUUCAUGUAUGUGCGGAAUAUGGCUCGGCGUCUCAACUGAGGCAAAACACCAUCCUUGUUGUUCAAGCUAGAUAUCCGGAAAGCCUUUGAUUCCGUGCGCUGGGACUACAUUCUUGAUCUUCUAUAACGACGGGGUUUUCCGAGCAUUUUCCGGGAUUGGAUCGCUGCACUUCUUCGUACCUCCUCUUCCAGAGUCUUGCUGAAUGGGGUGCCAGGACAACCGAUAAAGCAUGGCCAGGGCCUACAGCAGGGUGACCUGGUAUCCCCG
rnacentral:rRNA from 1 species